rnacentral:misc_RNA from 1 species
CUCUAAAUAAAGACGAAGAUGUCAUGGUGAAAGAAGUAAAAACUCAGGUGGCCACCCAUAAAUAUUCGUGCUUAGAUGCGGUCAUGGUCAAACUAAAAUGGUGGAUGAUGCGGUUGAUCUCCGAUGAAGAUUACGAGCUUCAGCUUUCUGACCUCGGUCCUGCUACCGGUACAAUCCAGAUCUCUAGUCUCUCAAUCUUAGCGAACU